rnacentral:rRNA from 1 species
CCUACGGGUGGCUGCAGUGGGGAAUAUUGCACAAUGGGCGCAAGCCUGAUGCAGCCAUGCCGCGUGUGUGAAGAAGGCCUUCGGGUUGUAAAGCACUUUCAGCGGGGAGGAAGGCGUUAAGGUUAAUAACCUUGUCGAUUGACGUUACCCGCAGAAGAAGCACCGGCUAACUCCGUGCCAGCAGCCGCGGUAAUACGGAGGGUGCAAGCGUUAAUCGGAAUUACUGGGCGUAAAGCGCACGCAGGCGGUCUGUCAAGUCGGAUGUGAAAUCCCCGGGCUCAACCUGGGAACUGCAUUCGAAACUGGCAGGCUAGAGUCGUGUAGAGGGGGGUAGAAUUCCAGGUGUAGCGGUGAAAUGCGUAGAGAUCUGGAGGAAUACCGGUGGCGAAGGCGGCCCCCUGGACAAAGACUGACGCUCAGGUGCGAAAGCGUGGGGAGCAAACAGGAUUAGAUACCCGUGUAGUC